rnacentral:rRNA from 1 species
AACGAACGCUGGCGGCAGGCCUAACACAUGCAAGUCGAACGCCGUAGCAAUACGGAGUGGCAGACGGGUGAGUAACGCGUGGGAACAUGCCCUUUGGUUCGGAAUAACUCAGGGAAACUUGAGCUAAUACCGGAUAAGCCCGAGAGGGGAAAGAUUUAUCGGCGAAGGAUUGGCCCGCGUCCGAUUAGCUAGUUGGUGAGGUAAUGGCUCACCAAGGCGACGAUCGGUAGCUGGUCUGAGAGGAUGAUCAGCCACACUGGGACUGAGACACGGCCCAGACUCCUACGGGAGGCAGCAGUGGGGAAUAUUGGACAAUGGGCGCAAGCCUGAUCCAGCCAUGCCGCGUGAGUGAUGAAGGCCCUAGGGUUGUAAAGCUCUUUCGCCAGGGACGAUAAUGACGGUACCUGGAUAAGAAGCCCCGGCUAACUUCGUGCCAGCAGCCGCAGUAAAAC